rnacentral:misc_RNA from 1 species
GCAAAUCCAAGUGUAAGGAAGUAAAAAAUAAAUAAUUAUUGCGAAUAAGUAGAUAAUGGUCAAAAUCUAGUAGUUUUUCCAGCCAAAGGCUUCCCCAAAAAAUAGCCAUGGAUCUUAAUCCUAAAACCUAACUCGAAAACAAAAAUGCACCUGAAAUCAACUGCAACUCAAAAGCAGAAACCAGCACUUCAUAAGGAGUAACAAAAAGAAUCCCAGAUCUGAUUUCAUCAAAUUCCAACCCCAAAAUCCCAACCGAACCAAACCCACUAACAAAACAAUGGUAAAACCAAAUUCAAAAGCCAAACUAAGCAAAACCCAUUCACAUAGACACGCAGGAGUACUUGCCCACAUAAGAAUGUACCAAAAUUGCAGUGAAGAAUCCAAAAACACUAAUCGUUUAAACCCAAAAGUUUGAGAGAAAUGCAGGUUAGAUUAAACCUGAGAGAUCAAUCAGUAACCUCUCGGGUUGGUGAACAGGAUCCUAUGUUUUUGAGUUUUAUCUAUUCUUUCCAUAUUCUAUAUUUGUGUUCUUAUCAGAUUAUAUCUUUUGGGUUUUGGGGUUUUUGGGUUUUUUCUUUAAGCUCUAACAUACCAGAACAAUGACAAGAUGAUUUUGCUUUACUCAUUUCUCAAAU